rnacentral:rRNA from 1 species
AACUGAGACACGGUCCAGACUCCUACGGGAGGCAGCAGUGGGGAAUAUUGGACAAUGGGCGCAAGCCUGAUCCAGCCAUACCGCGUGGGUGAAGAAAGGCCUUCGGGUUGUAAAGCCCUUUUGUUGGGAAAGAAAUCCAGCUGGCUAAUACCCGGUUGGGAUGACGGUACCCAAAGAAUAAGCACCGGCUAACUUCGUGCCAGCAGCCGCGGUAAUACGAAGGGUGCAAGCGUUACUCGGAAUUACUGGGCGUAAAGCGUGCGUAGGUGGUCGUUUAAGUCCGUUGUGAAAGCCCUGGGCUCAACCUGGGAACUGCAGUGGAUACUGGACGACUAGAGUGUGGUAGAGGGUAGCGGAAUUCCUGGUGUAGCAGUGAAAUGCGUAGAGAUCAGGAGGAACAUCCAUGGCGAAGGCAGCUACCUGGACCAACACUGACACUGAGGCACGAAAGCGUGGGGAGCAAACAGGAUUAGAUACCCUGGUAGUCCACGCCCUAAACGAUGCGAACUGGAUGUUGGGUGCAAUUUGGCACGCAGUAUCGAAGCUAACGCGUUAAGUUCGCCGCCUGGGGAGUACGGUCGCAAGACUGAAACUCAAAGGAAUUGACGGC